GCAUCCGUAGCUCAACUGGAUAGAGCACCGGUCUUCGGAACCGGGGGUUGGAGGUUCGAAUCCUCCCGGGUGUAC
rnacentral:tRNA from 1 species